rnacentral:rRNA from 1 species
AUUGAACGCUGGCGGCAGGCUUAACACAUGCAAGUCGAGCGGAGAUGAGGUGCUUGCACCUUAUCUUAGCGGCGGACGGGUGAGUAAUGCUUAGGAAUCUGCCUAUUAGUGGGGGACAACAUUCCGAAAGGAAUGCUAAUACCGCAUACGCCCUACGGGGGAAAGCAGGGGAUCUUCGGACCUUGCGCUAAUAGAUGAGCCUAAGUCGGAUUAGCUAGUUGGUGGGGUAAAGGCCUACCAAGGCGACGAUCUGUAGCGGGUCUGAGAGGAUGAUCCGCCACACUGGGACUGAGACAAGGCCCAGACUCCGACGGGAGGCAGCAGUGGGGAAUAUUGGACAAUGGGCGGAAGCCUGAUCCAGCCAUGCCGCGUGUGUGAAGAAGGCCUUUUGGUUGUAAAGCACUUUAAGCGAGGAGGAGGCUACCUGGAUUAAUACUCUAGGAUAGUGGACGUUACUCGCAGAAUAAGCACCGGCUAACUCUGUGCCAGCCGCCGCCGUAAGAC